rnacentral:rRNA from 1 species
CAGGCUGCUGCAACUGUUUAUUAAAAACACAGCACUCUGCAAACACGAAAGUGGACGUAUAGGGUGUGAUGCCUGCCCGGUGCUGGAAGGUUAAUUGAUGGGGUUAGCGUAAGCGAAGCUCUUGAUCGAAGCCCCAGUAAACGGCGGCCGUAACUAUAACGGUCCUAAGGUAGCGAAAUUCCUUGUCGGGUAAGUUCCGACCUGCACGAAUGGCAUAAUGAUGGCAGCGCUGUCUCCAGCAGAGACUCAGUGAAAUCGAAAUCGCAGUGAAGAUGCUGUGUACCCGCGGCUAGACGGAAAGACCCCGUGAACCUUUACUACAGCUUUACAUUGAACUUUGACCUAACUUGUGUAGGAUAGGUGGGAGGCUUUGAAGCAGAUACGCCAGUAUUUGUGGAGCCAACCUUGAAAUACCACCCUGGUUAUGUUGGGGUUCUAACUUGAGAUUAACAGAUCUAAGGACAAUGUAUGGUGGGUAGUUUGACUGGGGCGGUCUCCUCCUAAAGAGUAACGGAGGAGUACGAAGGUGCGCUCAGAACGGUCGGAAAUCGUUCAAAGAGUAUAAAGGCAAAAGCGCGCUUAACUGCGAGACCCACAAGUCGAGCAGGUACGAAAGUAGGUCUUAGUGAUCCGGUGGUUCUGUAUGGAAGGGCCAUCGCUCAACGGAUAAAAGGUACUCUGGGGAUAACAGGCUGAUACCGCCCAAGAGUUCAUAUCGACGGCGGUGUUUGGCACCUCGAUGUCGGCUCAUCUCAUCCUGGGGCUGAAGCAGGUCCCAAGGGUAUGGCUGUUCGCCAUUUAAAGAGGUACGCGAGCUGGGUUUAGAACGUCGUGAGACAGUUCGGUCCCUAUCUACCGUGGGCGUUGGAAAUUUGAGAGGAUCUGCUCCUAGUACGAGAGGACCAGAGUGGACGA